rnacentral:rRNA from 1 species
GCCGCGGUAUUUUGACCGUGCAAAGGUAGCGCAAUCACUUGUCUCUUAAAUAGAGACCUGUAUGAAUGGCUAGACGAGGGCUUAACUGUCUCCCCCCUCCGGUCAGUGAAAUUGAUCUAUCCGUGCAGAAGCGGGUGUAAUUAUACAAGACGAGAAGACCCUUUGGAGCUUAAGGUACAAAGUUCAACCACGUUAAACGACUCCGCACAAAGCAAGAACUUAAUGGAAAAUGAAAUUUUACCUUCGGUUGGGGCGACCACGGAGGAGAAAAGAGCCUCCGAGUGGAUUGGGCUAAAUCCCCAAAGCCAAGAGAUACAUUUAUAAGCCGCAGAACAUCUGACCAAAAAUGAUCCGGCUGAAAAGCCGAUCAACGAACCAAGUUACCCUAGGGAUAACAGCGCAAUCCUCUCCCAGAGUCCAUAUCGACGAGGGGGUUUACGACCUCGAUGUUGGAUCAGGACAUCCUAAUGGUGCAGCCGCUAUUAAGGGUUCGUUUGUUCAACGAUUAAAGUCCUACGUGAUCU